UGCAGUGACAGGUGUCAUAGGGCCAGCAGAUGAUGAAGCAGUGGCAGGUGUCAUAGGGCCAGCAGAUGAUGAAGCAGUGGCAGGUGUCAUAGGGCCAGCAGAUGAUGAAGCAGUGGCAGGUGUCAUAGGGCCAGCAGAUGAUGAAGCAGUGGCAGGUGUCAUAGGGCCAGCAGAGGAUGAAGCAGUGGCAGGUGUCAUAGGGCCAGCAGAUGAUGAAGCAGUGGCAGGUGUCAUAGGGCCAGCAGAUGAUGAAGCAGUGGCAGGUGUCAUAGGGCCAGCAGAUGAUGAAGCAGUGGCAGGUGUCAUAGGGCCAGCAGAUGAUGAAGCAGUGGCAGGUGUCAUAGGGCCAGCAGAGGAUGAAGCAGUGGCAGGUGUCAUAGGGCCAGCAGAUGUUGAAGCAGUGGCAGGUGUCAUAGGGCCAGCAGAUGUUGAAGCAGUGGCAGGUGUCAUAGGGCCAGCAGAUGUUGAAGCAGUGGCAGGUGUCAUAGGGCCAGCAGAUGAUGAAGCAGUGGCAGGUGUCAUAGGGCCAGCAGAUGAUGAAGCAGUGGCAGGUGUCAUAGGGCCAGCAGAUGAUGAAGCAGUGGCAGGUGUCAUAGGGCCAGCAGAUGAUGAAGCAGUGGCAGGUGUCAUAGGGCCAGCAGAUGAUGAAGCAGUGGCAGGUGUCAUAGGGCCAGCAGAUGAUGAAGCAGUGGCAGGUGUCAUAGGGCCAGCAGAGGAUGAAGCAGUGGCAGGUGUCAUAGGGCCAGCAGAUGAUGAAGCAGUGGCAGGUGUCAUAGGGCCAGCAGAUGUUGAAGCAGUGGCU